rnacentral:rRNA from 1 species
UAGGGAAUCUUCCACAAUGGACGAAAGUCUGAUGGAGCAACGCCGCGUGAGUGAAGAAGGGUUUCGGCUCGUAAAGCUCUGUUGGUAGUGAAGAAAGAUAGAGGUAGUAACUUGGCCUUUAUUUGACGGUAAUUACUUAGAAAGUCACGGCUAACUACGUGCC